rnacentral:lncRNA from 1 species
GGGGGUAGAUAUAAAGAUAAAAUAGAUCAUUCAAAGGGGAAAAGGGCUAAUCCAUACAGUGAGAUUUCCGAGAAGGCAGCAGGGGUGGGGCAGGGAGGCCCAGAGCGCAGGUGGAGAGUGAGCCUGGUGUGGAGUUAGCCACUUCUCCCCAGAGGAAGGCAAGGAUGUGGAGGGUGAAAGCGGGCUCGCAGACACGAAUAUGACCAACGUGAUGCAGUGUGACUCUCAGGAUUAUGUAGUUAUAUAAGACUUGGUCUGUUUGAAAGAUUUGAAGAAGCCAGCUACCCUGAGGUCUACAUCUUUCCACAGCCUUGGUGUUGGAACCUAAUCCUCAACGUGGUGGUAGGUUUACCACCUGAAGCAGAGAACAGCCCUCACCAGAUACUGAACCAGCUGGUGCCUUAACAUUGGACUUCCAGCCUCCAGAACUGUGAGAUGAGGACCAGAUCAUCAUGACAUGGCCUCCUAAAACAUCCUUUCGAGGGCAAAGGAGACAGAAGAAAGUGACCUCCUAGCAACUGCCUGUGCAAAGAAGAGACUCAACAAAAGAAAAGACUUCUCUCAUGAAGACCCAAGAGCUUCAGGGUCAGAAUGAGGAUAAGAAUUUGGUACUGCUGACAUUUCUACACCUACUCUUCUGUGCUUUUGCCUUGAAAUCUUGAGAACUUCCCUGCUCAAAGAUAAAACCUCAUACACUACAUGAAAUUUCUUUGUUUUUCGGUAACUCUUUCUCUUUGGUCAGAUUCAAGCUGUUUUGAGAUACCCAAACUACUGUUUGCUGAAGUCAACUCAAUAAUUAAAAACAACAACAAGUGAUAUCAAUUAUUUGACACUAUACAGACAAAACAACCUACUGCAUGAAUUAUAGGCUACUUCUACCACUGCCCAGAUGAAAUGGGAUCAAAGUGGACACUUGCCUACUUCCAAACUUAGGUAAAAAUGGAGACAGACAGGGUGACAAACAGGAAAGCAUUUUGACCAUCCAUAUAUGUGGCUCUGUUUCAACAGUGUUUGCCAUAUACCACAGGCAGCUACAAGUGAUGUUUCUCAUUGUAAAUAUAUUCUUCAGAUUGCAAAAAUAUUUUGCUCUUUGGUUGUUUUUAUUUGAUGGAUUCAGUGCCAUGUGCCACAGGCAAAGCCCUGUGCUAGAAGAUGAAGAGGCACAGAUGAUUAUAAAGCAGAAUCCCAGCUCCCAAAGAACAGAUGAGGGAGGAACCGAAAUAUUUAGAGAAUAUUUGUAUGUGUGAAGAACCUCAUUACCAUACCACUGGUUACAAAGGAAGUCCAUGGGAAUCCAGUGGGGGCAGGAGCUUGGACUGAGAACGGUGGGCCACCCAUAAGCCGAG